GGCUACGGGCGGCCCUCGGCUCUUUCCCCCCCCCCUCCCUCCCGCCCGGGGUGGCCUUAAAUCGGCUCCGCGCCGCCCGUAGCCGCAUCGCAGGCGCCGGUCCGAAGGCGGGCGCUGCCAUCCGACCGUCCCGGUCCCGGUCCCGGUCCCGGUCCCGGUUCCAGGGCGACAAGGAGGACACACCUCCUGCCCGGCUGGGGGUGAUGCUUCCCCGGCAGCCCCCGGUGCGGUGCCGCCCCGGUGCUCCGGCAUCUCCGCCGUGAUCGGUGCAUCUCGCCAGCCUCCUAAUGAGCAUCGCUGUGGUAGCGAGGAAGGAGAAGUAUUUGGCAUCCGAAAGGUAAUCCCAGAGGAAACGGAUUACAGAUGUUACCAGGAGGGAGAGGGGAAUAAAAUCCAGCUAUCAAACACCAGGCAGCCCGCUUGGAGCGAUAGCAGAAAGUCCUCAGAUGGUAACAAGUGACUUUGCUCUGUACCCUUCAGUUUUUCCUGACCUGAGUGGAUCCCUCUUUCUGGAGCACUGCUUUUGUUGCCGGUGUGUAAUAACAGUAUCGGGAGAUUUCAUACCCAGAGAAGGACCAAAGCAGAAGCUAGAAGUUGGAGGAAAAUGUUCCUGACCGUGGCAGAGCCAUACAGAAGGCAGCACGUGCACUAGGCAGGCCCAUUUGACGUUGGACUUCCAGAAGUCAUCUCUGGGAUCUCUUGCUUGUAUGACUUACUGCACACAGGCUGUUAAGGGUCUUUCAAACAGGUAAGCCAGGACUGGGAUCUCAUCACACUAUGACUUAAACCAGGAGUGAGUUAUGUCCCUGAACAAGUGGUCUGCAAUAGAUGUCCAAAUACAUCUGUAUUUUCCAAACUGAUCAUUAAUGUUGGGUACUUUGUUGAAGGCAGGGCUACCUUGAGAAGCCAAGGAUCUGAUUUGCAGACAGACUGACUGCUCAUAAAUCAUAUUAACUAGUGGGAGCUGAAAGCGCUCAACAAUUGUGAAAAAUCAAGCACAGGACUACUGUAGCCUGGGCCAUCUGUAAAUAAGCCACCCCCUGUUGUCAAUUAUUCCGGAUACUUUGUCUUUUAUUUGUCUUUAUUUUCUUUUAGUUCCUCUCACCUCAUAGAAGGAGUUUCGAAAACAAAGGUUAAAUGUUGCAAUUCCUCAGAUAUCACGAUCCUGUACAUUACAGAAAUGCUAAGAAAGAAAUUAAAGUAUUCUGAAGUCUGUGAUUUAAACUAAAUGCUGCAGUGACCAAACACUGCAAGCCAGGAGUAGAAAGGCAUGUGGAAUGAUUAAACUUUCAGCGGGCAUCACCAGUACUGUGGAAUGACUGAGGCAGGGAUUUUGUGGAAAACUUAGUAGGUGUGCAUCCUAGCAUGCAUCCCUGAUUGCCUCAAUGUGUCUGCAUAAGGAGGAUGAACUAAACCUGCAGGAGUGAAGGAAAUGCUGGCUGUCUUGAGGAUGCCUAACAUUUUCUGUUUUGUCCACUUGCAUAUGCAGGAACACAAAUCUUGCACACGGUUUUAAAAAAUUCUACAAAAGAAGCAAAUUAAAUGGUCACCACAAAGCUCAGGAUGAAUACCAGCCCCGGAGAGGGGGCAACUAAAAGUCCUCUCUGGCUUCAGAAUCAGCAACAUGAACAGCCCUAAGUCAAGGACAGUGGGUUCAUCACGGGGCAGCGGGAGGUUCUUUAUAGCAACAUAAAUAGAUAAAAGCUUCUAUUCGAUAGCACAGGAAUUGGCUGGGGCAGCUGGACAGUGAUUCGGGCCUGCAAUGUUAACGGGGCUCCUUGUAAACUUAGACAAACGCUUUGCUGGAUCGGGGCCCAACAUUUAUCAUGCCUCCCUCCAAGCAAGCCGAACUCAGUCCAUUAACUUGGCCUCUAGACUCACUGUCCUAAUGUUUGUGGUGAGCAAUAUUUCGGAGGCCUUACU
rnacentral:lncRNA from 1 species